rnacentral:rRNA from 1 species
ACAUGCUUACAACAUAGAAUUAAUGUACCAUAUCCCAUUAGAAAUCUGUAGUUAAGAACGCUUAAGAUAGAGUAGUACUGGGAUGGGUGGCCACCCGAGAAGUCCUAGUGUUUUACAUGGC